CUCGUUGCUUAAAAUGGGGCGAGGGAACCUUCUGUGUCGGCUCCGCUCGCCCCAGUGCCGGACCAAGGAGCUCGCAGCAGAGCGCGCACACGCAGAGCAGCUCAAUGUGCUGCGGAACCGUCUCCCUCUUCUCUCUGCCAGGCCCUGCCCAGCAAUCCCGGGCCCACCGCGCCUCCCUCCGCCUAAUGCUGAGGCCCACUGUCUCCUCAUCGCCUCCCCAGCAGCCCAGCCUGCUACUUUAGGGGAGCACCCAUUCAGUGGCAGGUGGGCAUAGCGGUGCUGACCCCCAUGCCAUGUGUUGAGGACCCAAACACUACACCCUCCUUCCCAGCGCCAGCCCAACACUGGCUGCUGUAGUCACAUAAACAGUGGGAAGGAUAAAUUGUCUCUAUGCCCCUCCCCUUGAUGCAAGAACAGAGGCAGAGUGAUGUAAAGGUGGCUUUAAGAUACCUUAUACCCCCUCCAUCUAGGACCAGCAAUGGACCAGGCUGGUUUCUGGUGUAAGUUAGAGCAGCCUCAGGACUACUCCAAUUCACAUCCCGCUGCUUGUGGACCCCAAGAGGCAGUUUUAACAUCCAAGAAUGGCCUCUCGCGACAUCCUUUAUGGGAAAGACUGUGAGAGGGUAGUAUUAUAGAGUUACUAGAAAAUCCUCAUUUGAUUAGAAUCCAACUUCUUGAACUACAGCUGCAAACUAAGGAAACACAGAAAAGAGCUAACAAAAAAAUUGAACAAAAUACUGAAGCUAUUGUAUGAUUAAACAGUGCAGCUCUAAUGGCUUGGAAUUAUCAAGGAGACUGAAGUAGCAAAUCACAAUAAUACCCUGGAAGUAGGUUAGCAUAUCAUGUUUGGUGGAGGCUUGCUAGCAACUUCACUAGGCAACAGCUGUUUUCAAGGGCACGUGACAAGAAGAAACCUGCCUUAAUAAACAUGAUCUGAGCAACUUGUUACUCAGGUGGAUCCAAUACCAAUGUCUUUUCCUUGCUAUAUUGUUGCAUAAAUUUCUGAUGUUCUUUCUUGGUGGGUACACACAUUAAACCUGCCACACUGGUAGGUUAAUAGAUAAAUGGCACAAAGCAUUUGGUUCUGUUGGAUAUUUUCAGAUGCAAAGAUUUUUGAGCGGCUCUGAAUUUUUCACAAUACAUCUUCCUAUUCUUAUUUUCUUAAUGGCAAGAGAGAGGAAGGGAAAGCAAAACACAAUGGAGGCCAGUUUCAUUCCUUGUGUAAGUCCAUUGACAGCAGAAGGAUUGUGUAAUAUGCAUGUUAUCUUGUGUAACGUUGCAGUGGGAAAGAAGCAAUGGAAAGUUGUAUAUUAUAUAAAAUACCACUCAGACAUGUUUGCUGGAGUACAUACUUGCAUGGCAGGUGUAAAGGAGCACACAAGGUGCAAGUCCAUAAGGACAAUCAGGCCGUAGAAGUUGUAGAGUACUUGUUGCAAUUUAAAAUACAUCUGAGUUCUAGCACUGUUUACAUUCAUAGCAAUGUCAAUUGCCUUUCAUUUGAUAUAAGCAAUGUGGAGAUUUAUUUAUUUAGUUAUUCAGUAUAAGUGGCAUCACAUCUUUAUAUACUAUAUGGCAAUGUCCUUGUAAUGAUUUUGAUAGAAUUUCGCUGUUUCAUAAGAUUGCACAGAUCUUUAUAAAAGUAAUGUUUUAUAAUAAUAAUAAAUACAUAAUUUUAUAAUA